rnacentral:rRNA from 1 species
AACGUAGGGGACAAGCGUUAUCCGGAUUUACUGGGCGUAAAGCGCCCGUAGGCGGCCUGACAAGUUGGACGUGAAAGCUCCUGGCUUAACUGGGAGAGGCCGUUCAAAACUGUCAAGCUAGAGUCUGGAAGAGGAGAGCGGAAUUCCCGGUGUAGUGGUGGAAUGCGUAGAGAUCAGGAGGAACACCAGUGGCGAAAGCGGCUCUCUGGGGGCAACCUGACGCUGAGGCGCGAAAGCGUGGGGAGCGAACCGG